AUUCGGCUGACGAGUCCCAAAUAGGACGAAACGCGCGUCCUGGAU
rfam:Schistosoma curassoni strain Dakar, Senegal genome assembly, scaffold: SCTD_scaffold0000165